AUUGAACGCUGGCGGCAGGCCUAACACAUGCAAGUCGAGCGAGCGGCGGACGGGUGUGUAAUGUAUGGGGAUCUGCCCGAUAGAGGGGGAUAACUACUGGAACCGGUGGCUAAUACCGCAUACUAUCGGGUGAACCCAUCUGGGAUUAGCUAGUAGGUGGGGUAAUGGCGCACCUAGGCGACGAUCUCUAGCGGGUCUGCGAGGCGGAGCAGCCACACUGGGACUGAGACACGGCCCAGACUCCUACGGGAGGCAGCAGUGGGGAAUAUUGCACAAUGGGCGCAAGCCUGAUGCAGCCAUGCCGCGUGUAUGAAGAAGGCCUUAGGGGUGUAAAGUACUUUCAGCGGGGAGGCGUUACCCGCAGAAGAAGCACCGGCUAACUCCGUGCCAGCAGCCGCGGUAAUUC
rnacentral:rRNA from 1 species